AGUGAACGCUGGCGGUGGGCCUAACACAUGCAAGUCGAACGGCAGCACAGUAAGAGCUUGCUCUUACGGGUGGCGAGUGGCGGACGGGUGAGGAAUACAUCGGAAUCUACUUUUUCGUGGGGGAUAACGUAGGGAAACUUACGCUAAUACCGCAUACGACCUACGGGUGAAAGCAGGGGAUCUUCGGACCUUGCCCGAUUCAAUGAGCCGAUGUCGGAUUAGCUAGUUGGCGGGGUAAAGGCCCACCAAGGCGACGAUCCGUAGCUGGUCUGAGAGGAUGAUCAGCCACACUGGAACUGAGACACGGUCCAGACUCCUACGGGAGGCAGCAGUGGGGAAUAUUGGACAAUGGGCGCAAGCCUGAUCCAGCCAUACCGCGUGGGUGAAGAAGGCCUUCGGGUUGUAAAGCCCUUUUGUUGGGAAAGAAAAGCAGCAGGUUAAUACCCCGCUGUUCUGACGGUACCCAAAGAAUAAGCACCGGCUAACUUCGUG
rnacentral:rRNA from 1 species